GACGAACGCUGGCGGCGUGCUUAACACAUGCAAGUCGAACGGGAUCCAUACGUUGGAGUCUUCGGACGAAGAUGUAUGGUGAGAGUGGCGGACGGGCGAGUAACGCGUGAGCAACCUGCCCUAUGCAGGGGGAUAACACCGGGAAACCGGUGCUAAUACCGCAUAAGACCACACUGGCACAUGUCAGAGUGGUAAAAGCUCCGGCGGCAUAGGAUGGGCUCGCGUCCAAUUAGCUUGUUGGUAGGGUAACGGCCUACCAAGGCGACGAUUGGUAGCCGAACUGAGAGGUUGGUCGGCCGCAUUGGGACUGAGACACGGCCCAGACUCCUACGGGAGGCAGCAGUGGGGAAUAUUGCGCAAUGGGGGAAACCCUGACGCAGCGACGCCGCGUGAAGGAAGAAGGCCUUCGGGUUGUAAACGUUUACCUUUGGUCGGGGUACGAAGAUGACGGUACCCGAAUAACAACGCCACGGCUAACUACGUGCCAGCAGCCGCGUAAAAGUACUCUAU
rnacentral:rRNA from 1 species